GAAUACGUUACAAAUUACAUUUUUGGGCAUGUAUUAUGUAUUCUGUAACGGAAUACGUUUUGAAAGUAACCUUCCCAACACUGCGAGUAAUGUGCCGAAGCUUCGAAACAUGGAAGACAAGGAAAACACAGCGACAUCUGGUGGUUUGCAUAAAUUAUAGCAGCCACGUACUAGUGAAAAGAAUGCCAUUCAAGCUUCGAAAUGUUCUCAUUCAUUAAUCAUUACAUUAAAAGUGUUGCAAGAAAUUUGCAUUUCUGUUUAUCUCAAUUCAAUACAAAAAAAUACAAUUAGGCAACAUAAUCCCGUCACUCGUUAUCACGUGAAGAUUGGUGUUUCGGUGGAGGCAUGAAAUUAUGUGUUAUCCCAGUCAAUGAUUCAAUUGGUCUCCCAUCCACGACCGCAGUAGACACUACUUAGCUUCUGAACCAGGACGAAGUAUUAUCAACCUCAACACGCUAUGGACGAGAGCCAUAUGGCCCGACAUGUUUUUGACGAUUCAUGAAUCAAACUUUCAAUAAAGGAAAAUAUUAUGUCAGCCAUCAUUGUUAGGCCUACAUAGAAAUGAUUAGCCUGUAUUGCUUUUUUAAUUACAUGAUUGAAGUUGAGACAAGAUUGCAACACAGACACGUUUUAAAUGUCAUCGUUCUAAAUGGCAAAGCUUUAGGCUAGGCCUAGGCUAUUUCUUCUUUAUUUCUAUGUGCAUGACAUUAUGGAUUAUGGACAUUUUCCGGAAAGAAAAGAACAUAAAUUCACAAAUAGAGAAAGCAUCCUAUAAAACAGGGCUACCCUAUAGAAACACAAAUUUCGCCUGACUCUUGCAAUACAACACAACACAUUCCGAUACUAGAACGGGUGCCCUGGUUUGCGCAAUUCAAAGCCUUUGAAUCAGAUUCUGAAGCAGUCACGUGGGUGUGUGUCCCAAACGAAGCUUCAGACGUCAAACUCACAAACCGAGGCCUCGUUUGUCAUCAGUCACGUGAUUUUUAUGGAAACGACACAGGCCUCGAACCGGGGCUUCAUCUGGCAUGCCCCUUUCUGCUCGACACAAGCUCCGAAGGCUCGUUUCAUUGGGCACAUCAGUACCUCUCGGAUUCCCCUCGCUUGGUCCAGCGUCCUCCUGGUCUGAUCCCUCGAGUCGCCCUUUCCGGAUCCUGCCGAGCUAAGUUUAUCUCCUGUGUUUUGGACUUUUUCCGUUAAAGUUCAUUGAUCUCCUGUGUUUUGGACUCUCCUUGGUUUACCUUUUCCUGCUAAACUUCUGUGUAUUAGUGCCCUGUGUUUGACACCCCUUUUCCUGGUUUUCGUUUGGGAUAACAAGCUACCUUGUUUGAACUCUA